GACGAACGCUGGCGGCGUGCCUAAUACAUGCAAGUUGAGCGCUGAAGGUUGGUACUUGUACCAACUGGAUGAGCAGCGAACGGGUGAGUAACGCGUGGGGAAUCUGCCUUUGAGCGGGGGACAACAUUUGGAAACGAAUGCUAAUACCGCAUAAAAACUUUAAACACAAGUUUUAAGUUUGAAAGAUGCCAUUGCAUCACUCAAAGAUGAUCCCGCGUUGUAUUAGCUAGUUGGUGAGGUAAAGGCUCACCAAGGCGAUGAUACAUAGCCGACCUGAGAGGGUGAUCGGCCACAUUGGGACUGAGACACGCCCCAAACUCCUACGGGAGGCAGCAGUAGGGAAUCGUCAGCAAUGGACGAAAGUCUGACCGCGCAACGCCGCGUGAGUGAAGAGGGUUUUCGGAUCGUAGAACUCUGUUGGUAGAGAAGAACGUUGGUGAGAGUGGAAAGCUCAUCAAGUGACGGUAACUACCCAGAAAGGAACGGCUAACUACGUG
rnacentral:rRNA from 1 species